rnacentral:lncRNA from 1 species
CUGCAUCCCGUUGUAGAUUUUUCUGGCUUUGCCUGCCCAGCUGCUCCAAGCCAGGCUGGUGAAGGAGGAGUCUGCUGUGGUGAGCUGGAGGUUGGAGCCUGAAGAUGGCACAGCUCUGCAAUUCAUCUGUGGUUGUGGCGGUGACGGUGAUGGAGACUGCAGCUCAACAGGAGCAGGAGGAGGAUACCCAUGGAGGCCAGGGUUUCCCAGCUGUCUUCAUCCAGGCCUGAACCGGUGUUCACAGUGGUCCUCAUCUAAACCAGCCACGGAGUUCUCUGUCCUUCACAUGACAGCCAGCCCAGAUGUUCACAGCCGUCCUGAUCGGGCCAGCUAGUUUGUUCACAUAUGUGCUAAUUGGUUCCAGCCACCCU